rnacentral:rRNA from 1 species
UACAGAGGGGGCAAGCGUUAUUCGGAAUUAUUGGGCGUAAAGGGCAGGUAGGUGGUCUCGUUUGUCAGGGGUGAAAGCCUUGGGCUUAACUCAAGAAGUGCCCCUGAAACGGCGAGACUAGAGUGCUGGAGAGGUCGGUGGAAUUCCUGGUGUAGCGGUGAAAUGCGCAGAUAUCAGGAGGAACACCGGUGGCGAAGGCGGGUCUCUGGGCCGUAACUGACGCUGAGGAGCGAAAGCGUGGGGAGCGAACAGG